UAGAAAACUCCAGAUACAUAGGUCCAUGAUC
rnacentral:piRNA from 1 species